AUUGAACGCUGGCGGAAUGCUUUACACAUGCAAGUCGAACGGCAGCACGGACAUCGGUCUGGUGGCGAGUGGCGAACGGGUGAGUAAUGUAUCGGAACGUGCCCAGUCGUGGGGGAUAACGUAGUGAAAAUUACGCUAAUACCGCAUACGAUCUAUGGAUGAAAGCGGGGGAUCGCAAGACCUCGCGCGAUUGGAGCGGCCGAUAUCAGAUUAGGUAGGUGGUGGGGUAAAGGCCCACCAAGCCAACGAUCUGUAGCUGGUCUGAGAGGACGACCAGCCAAACUGGAACUGAGACACGGUCCAGACUCCUACGGGAGGCAGCAGUGGGGAAUUUUGGACAAUGGGCGAAAGCCUGAUCCAGCCAUUCCGCGUGCAGGAUGAAGGCCCUCGGGUUGUAAACUGCUUUUGUACAGAACGAAAAGGUUUCUACUAAUACUAGGAGCUCAUGACGGUACUGUAAGAAUAAGCACCGGCUAACUACGUGCCAGCCGCCGCGGUAA
rnacentral:rRNA from 1 species